UACGAAGGGGGCUAGCGUUGCUCGGAUUGACUGGGCGUAAAGGGCGCGUAGGCGGUUCGUACAGUCAGACGUGAAAUUCCUGGGCUCAACCUGGGGGCUGCGUUUGAUACGUGCGGGCUUGAGUUCGGAAGAGGGUCGUGGAAUUCCCAGUGUAGAGGUGAAAUUCGUAGAUAUUGGGAAGAACACCGGUGGCGAGGGCGGCGACCUGGUCCGAUACUGACGCUGAGGCGCGAAAGCGUGGGGAGCAAACAGG
rnacentral:rRNA from 1 species